CCUACGGGGGGCUGCAGUGGGGAAUAUUGCACAAUGGGCGCAAGCCUGAUGCAGCCAUGCCGCGUGUGUGAAGAAGGCCUUCGGGUUGUAAAGCACUUUCAGCGGGGAGGAAGGCGGUGAGGUUAAUAACCUCAUCGAUUGACGUUACCCGCAGAAGAAGCACCGGCUAACUCCGUGCCAGCAGCCGCGGUAAUACGGAGGGUGCAAGCGUUAAUCGGAAUCACUGGGCGUAAAGCGCACGCAGGCGGUCUGUCAAGUCGGAUGUGAAAUCCCCGGGCUCAACCUGGGAACUGCAUUCGAAACUGGCAGGCUAGAGUCUUGUAGAGGGGGGUAGAAUUCCAGGUGUAGCGGUGAAAUGCGUAGAGAUCUGGAGGAAUACCGGUGGCGAAGGCGGCCCCCUGGACAAAGACUGACGCUCAGGUGCGAAAGCGUGGGGAGCAAACAGGAUUAGAUACCCCGGUAGUC
rnacentral:rRNA from 1 species